rnacentral:rRNA from 1 species
CAGUAGCCGCGGGAAGACAGAGGAUGCAAGCGUUAUCCGGAAUGAUUGGGCGUAAAGCGUCUGUAGGUGGCUUUUCAAGUCUGAUGUGAAAGCCCCCGGCUCAACCGGGGAGGGUCAUUGGAAACUGGGAAACUUGAGUGCAGAAGAGGAGAGUGGAAUUCCACGUGUAGCGGUGAAAUGCGUAGAGAUGUGGAGGAACACCAGUGGCGAAGGCGACUCUCUGGUCUGUAACUGACGCUGAGGAGCGAAAGCGUGGGGAGCGAACAGGAUUAGAUACCCCCGUAGUCCCUGUCUCUUAUAC